AAUCCAUGCAUCGGACAUUUUCGAAUUAAGUAUUUAAAUCGUUUCUAAGCUUCAUAUAGUGUUUCAUCCUCCGAUUGUCUAAAAUAUGUGAUGUCAUUUCUAAACUU
rfam:Gossypium hirsutum cultivar TM-1 chromosome 18, whole genome shotgun sequence